rnacentral:rRNA from 1 species
AAUGAACGUUGGCGGCGUGGAUUAGGCAUGCAAGUCGUGCGGAAAGGCUCCUUCGGGAGUACUCGAGCGGCGUAAGGGAGAGUAACGCGUGGAUAUCUACCCACUGGACUGGGAUAGCGGCGGGAAACUGCCGGUAAUACCAGAUAAUGUCUGCGGACCAAGGGUGUGAUUCCGCCGGGGGGUGAGUUCGCGUCCUAUUAGCUAGUUAGUAGGGUAAUGGCCUACCAAGGCAAAGAUGGGUAGCGGGUGUGAGAGCAUGGACCGGCUCACUGGGACUGAGACACUGCGCAGACACCUACGGCUGGCUGCAGUCGAGAAUCUUCGGCAAUGGGCGCAAGCCUGACCGAGCGACGCCGCGUGCGUGAUGAAGGCCUUCGGGUUGUAAACCGCUGUCAAAGGGGAGGAAAUGCGUGAGAGUUCUCUCUCACGUUUGACCCAUCCUCAGAGGAAGUACGGGCUAAGUUCGUGCCAGCAGCCGCCGUAAUAC